rnacentral:rRNA from 1 species
AUUGAACGCUGGCGGCAGGCCUAACACAUGCAAGUCGAGCGAGCGGCGGACGGGUGAGUAAUGUAUGGGGACUGCCCGAUAGAGGGGGAUAACUACUGGAAACGGUAGCUAAUACCGCAUACUAUCGGAUAACCCAUAUGGGAUUAGCUAGUAGGUGGGGUAAUGGCUAACCUAGGCGACGAUCCCUAGCUGGUCUGAGAGGAUGAUCAGCAACACGGGGAGGUAGACACGGCCCAGACUCCUACGGAUGGAGCGGUGGUGAAUAUUGCAAACUGGGAGUAAGCCUGAUGCAGCCAUGCCGCGUGUAUGAAGAAGGCCCUAGGGUUCUAAAGUACGUUCAGUCGGGAGGCGUUACCAACAGAAGAAGCACCGGCUAACUCCGUGCCAGCAGCCGCGGUAAUAC